GUCUACAGCCAUGUCACCCUGUACACACCCAAUCUCAUCUGAUCUCAGAAGCUAAGCAGGGUCAGACCUGGUUAGUACUUGGAUGGGAGACUACCUAGGAAUACCAGGUAUUGUAGGCU
rnacentral:rRNA from 1 species